UACGGAGGGGGCUAGCGUUGUUCGGAAUUACUGGGCGUAAAGCGCGUGUAGGCGGGUCUUUAAGUCAGGGGGGAAAUGCCAAGGCUCAACCUUGGAACUGCCUUUGAUACUGGAGAUCUUGAGUCCGGGAGAGGUGAGUGGAAUUGCGAGUGUAGAGGUGAAAUUCGUAGAUAUUCGCAAGAACACCAGUGGCGAAGGCGGCUCACUGGCCCGGAACUGACGCUGAGACGCGAAAGCGUGGGGAGCAAACAGG
rnacentral:rRNA from 1 species